rnacentral:rRNA from 1 species
CUGCGGCAGCGAACGUAUCACCCAAGACAACUUUACGGAGUUGACGAUUGACGGAGCGAAGCGACGUCAAAGCGUUCAUUAAAGUCGAGUUGGCUUAGGGAUACGUUCGUUGGGUAGGGGAGCGUUCUGUAAGCCUGUGAAGGUGUGUCGUGAGGCAUGCUGGAGGUAUCAGAAGUGCGAAUGCUGACAUAAGUAACGAUAAAGCGGGUGAAAAGCCCGCUCGCCGGAAGACCAAGGGUUCCUGUCCAACGUUAAUCGGGGCAGGGUGAGUCGACCCCUAAGGCGAGGCCGAAAGGCGUAGUCGAUGGGAAACGGGUUAAUAUUCCCGUACUUGGUGUUACUGCGAAGGGGGGACGGAGAAGGCUAUGUUGGCCGGGCGACGGUUGUCCCGGUUUAAGCGUGUAGGUGUGUGUUCCAGGUAAAUCCGGUUCACUUUAACACUGAGGCGUGAUGACGAGGCACUACGGUGCUGAAGCAACAAAUGCCCUGCUUCCAGGAAAAGCCUCUAAGCAUCAGGUAACAUCAAAUCGUACCCCAAACCGACACAGGUGGUCAGGUAGAGAAUACCAAGGCGCUUGAGAGAACUCGGGUGAAGGAACUAGGCAAAAUGGUGCCGUAACUUCGGGAGAAGGCACGCUGACACGUAGGUGAAGUGAUUUACUCAUGGAGCUGAAGUCAGUCGAAGAUACCAGCUGGCUGCAACUGUUUAUUAAAAACACAGCACUGUGCAAACACGAAAGUGGACGUAUACGGUGUGACGCCUGCCCGGUGCCGGAAGGUUAAUUGAUGGGGUCAGCGCAAGCGAAGCUCCUGAUCGAAGCCCCGGUAAACGGCGGCCGUAACUAUAACGGUCCUAAGGUAGCGAAAUUCCUUGUCGGGUAAGUUCCGACCUGCACGAAUGGCGUAAUGAUGGCCAGGCUGUCUCCACCCGAGACUCAGUGAAAUUGAACUCGCUGUGAAGAUGCAGUGUACCCGCGGCAAGACGGAAAGACCCCGUGAACCUUUACUAUAGCUUGACACUGAACAUUGAGCCUUGAUGUGUAGGAUAGGUGGGAGGCUUUGAAGUGUGGACGCCAGUCUGCAUGGAGCCGACCUUGAAAUACCACCCUUUAAUGUUUGAUGUUCUAACGUGGACCCGUAAUCCGGGUUGCGGACAGUGUCUGGUGGGUAGUUUGACUGGGGCGGUCUCCUCCUAAAGAGUAACGGAGGAGCACGAAGGUUGGCUAAUCCUGGUCGGACAUCAGGAGGUUAGUGCAAUGGCAUAAGCCAGCUUGACUGCGAGCGUGACGGCGCGAGCAGGUGCGAAAGCAGGUCAUAGUGAUCCGGUGGUUCUGAAUGGAAGGGCCAUCGCUCAACGGAUAAAAGGUACUCCGGGGAUAACAGGCUGAUACCGCCCAAGAGUUCAUAUCGACGGCGGUGUUUGGCACCUCGAUGUCGGCUCAUCACAUCCUGGGGCUGAAGUAGGUCCCAAGGGUAUGGCUGUUCGCCAUUUAAAGUGGUACGCGAGCUGGGUUUAGAACGUCGUGAGACAGUUCGGUCCCUAUCUGCCGUGGGCGCUGGAGAACUGAGGGGGGCUGCUCCUAGUACGAGAGGACCGGAGUGGACGCAUCACUGGUGUUCGGGUUGUCAUGCCAAUGGCACUGCCCGGUAGCUAAAUGCGGAAGAGAUAAGUGCUGAAAGCAUCUAAGCACGAAACUUGCCCCGAGA